AUGGCGUCUUCCAAGUCUCUCGUCCUGCUGUCCCCUCCGAUUAAUCCUCCGCUCGCUGACACCGGUACUCCCCUGCUCUCGGCCGUGGAUGAAUCCGCGCGAGGACGCCGCCUAGUGCGCGCCUCCGGCCACGCCGGUUGCUGCUGGACCCCCCUACGCCGCUGCCCGCCCCCCCCCCUCCCCUGGACGGCUAGGUUGCUAGGCCUACUGUGCUUCGUCGGCCGUCAGCCGGCUCUAUCCGUCGAGCAGUGCUGCUUCAGCUCAACGCACAUGCCUGCCUCCCUAGAAUGCCGGCGGUGCAGGCUGCACCGUAACCAGCUCGUUUUACCACUAGAUCUGUGGGGCGCCGGCGGCAGCAGGCAGCUGUAG
rnacentral:rRNA from 1 species